rnacentral:lncRNA from 1 species
CAAAACUUUUGUGGCCACUUUAUGUUUUUGCUACACAGUCUCGAGACUGUUGCAAAGGUAUCAUCUUUUCUGGAGUGCAGAUAUUAUUCACUUGCCAUCUUUUAAAUGUUGCCUGCAUAGUUACAUACUAGGGUGUGGGCAUUAGAAAAGUCAACCUGGUAUGUCACAUGUGUACCCCGAAUGAACAGAAAAUUCAGUUACAAAUUAUAGUAGAACUUGCUUAUUGCAUAUCUUACCUUAUUUUUAUGAAGAUCUUUAAAAUCACAAAACAGUUUUAUGCCUGGAAGGAAAACAUACUAUGCAUAUCUAAAGAGCCGAGCUGGACUUUUAGGGUCUGGUCUUAUUAUGGGAUGUAUCGUUUUCAUUCGGAUCUUUAGAUUCUGUGCUUUUUUUCACAUCCUCUCUCCCUCCCCCAGCACACAUACACUCUGGCAAAGUUUGUCUAGUGUUGGAUAUUUGACUUCUGGCAAAACUUCCACAUGAUCAGUGCCAAAGGGCUUUGAGGAAUUUCUUUAAAGGUCUUUCUUGGCGUUUCUGUUCUGAUUGUUUAAAACUCUACCACUUCUCAGUUACUGGGAGUGAGGAGGCAGUAGCAGGGCCUGAGUACUGUGGAGUUGUGAAAAUUCUGCAUUAUUGCUGGCAAGUGACGUGACUUAAAGUUAGAGGGCAACCUAGAUUUCUCUAGAGUAUGCUGUGGAACUGAUUGCGUUAUGCUUUAAUCCUUCCUAUUUCAAGUAAGCUGAUAAGUGUCAAGAGACACUCUUUUUUUUUUGUUUUGUUUUUACAAUUUCUAGGCUCAUUUGUUUAUUAAGUUCCUUGUGCACCCGGUUCUUGGCACUUUACGUGCAUUAUCUCCUUUCAUCUUCACAAGGAUUGAAUGAGCAAAGUACAGUGAUUAUAGGAGGUAAAUAUUUCUGCACCGAUCCAGAUGAACAAGUUAGCAGGCUAUAAAAGGAACCUGGCCUUUUUAUUCCUGCCUCAGUUGGAAGAGUAUGGAUACCUUAAUUAGCGUGGGCUCUUUGGGAUUCUAGUCAACAUGAGUAGGUGGUUUUUUUCCCCUGAACUCUCCUGGAGGGAAAGCCCAUAAUAACUGGCAUGAGGGGUGGAUGGGGAAGGGGUUUACGUUUUUACUUGAUGGCUGCUCUGAUGCCAGUUACCAAUUAUCAAUAGCCCUAUUUUAUAUGCAGUGGGACAAAAAAAAAAAAACGUAAAAUGUAAACUUGUCUAAAUUAACCUUAACACAGCCUACAAAAAUAUUCAGUAUUCUCUUUCUAUAGAGGACAGUGUGGCAUUGGUAAAGAUAAUUGUUACUAUUAUUAUUUUUGUUGAAGAAUAUCAUAUAUAGGAUUUAUAUCCCCACAGAGUUAAAACUUCUGAACUGAGUUUCUGUUCCAAGCAGAGAUGAGGCAGUUUUUUGUUGCCAUUCCAGUGGGCACUGGCAAAUAGCUUUUUAGGAACAUGAAGAUGUUUUCAGAACUUUGGUGGAGAAAAAAGACAGUUUGGCUUCCAUGAGCCCAGAGUUCUUUUUGGUGUGUCAGUAUGAAAGUUUCAACCUCAUAGUCAUUAUGUAAUCCAAAUAGGUAACAGAAUGGAACGGUUCUUUGAGUGUUUGUUUUCUUGGAAAGGAUUUUCUCUACUUUUAGAAAGCUGUACCUUGUCAGGAUGGUAGGAGACAGAGACGUCAUCAAAUAAUCCAAGGGAUGGAAUGUUCUGAGACCAAACCGUGUCCUUCUGGGUUGUGGGUUUAGGUGCAGGGCAGGUGGGGGCUGAGUGGCUAUGGGUCUAACAGCUGGGUUGAAGUCACUAUCUCCCCUUUCCAGCAAAAGAAUGUUACUCUAGGCCUUUCAUUUCCUAAGAGGCCUGUAUUCUCCUCUCCCAAGUUUUAAUUUCCUAGAAUUUUAAAGCUUUAAACCACUAUUCAGAUUGUAGUUAAGUCCUUUAUUUUACCAAAGAAGACUUUCAGACCCAGAGACCUUAAGAGAAGGGCUUGCACACUUGUACACACACACACAACCCAGCCAGUAACCACAGAGUCGGUAUUCAAACAGAUCUUUGCCUCUUACGUUUAGUGUUUGUAAAUACGGCACAAUUCCACCCUCUGUUAAAAUUGUCAAUACUCUUUUUGGCUCCAGUUCUCUUCACAUCAUAUUUUUCUCCCUCUGACAUUCAGAAACCAUGCCAUUGGAAUACCAUGAUGGAAUACUUGGAGUUCUUGGCUCCUUUUGCCCCACUUUGAAGAAUCAGCCUCUCUUCUAGGUUUCAUGAUGCCUUAAUCCACAUUAGUUUUGCAUUAAUUUUAAUUCCUCAAGGUUUCCAAUUGUUUGCUGUUUUAAAAUCCCAAAUCUCCCUUCCACGCUGUAUGACGAUCUCAUAUCUGCCUCAGCCAGAUGUGACUCACACACAGCUGUGGAUACCCUGGUGACUGCCCACCCUUAUGUCCUCACCAGUGGAACCUGGUCUUGCCUUUGCUGACUCUCGGGCAUAACGGCAUAGUUAGUUCAUGCCUGUUUUUCUCAUUUUUAAAUAAGUUGCUCUUAGCUCAUCAGACACAGCCGUAUUGUGCACCAGUGAAAGGGGGUAAUUACAUUCUACUUGAGGUGAGUAAUUGACUGAUUUAAAGACCUUAAGAUUAAAUCUGUCCCCCUCUAACCCCUUUGGUUCCCCUCAGGUCUUGAAACAAGUAGCCAGCCCCAAAUGGCACACUUUGCGUGCUUUUAUUUUUUGUUAUUUAAAGUAUCAGAAUCUUCUUUUUCACUGUUGUGCUUUGUUUGAAAGGAACAUGGCUCUCCAUUCCUUCAUUUUCUGCUUGUCUAUACAUAGAAAUGACACUGCACUAGCUGUUUCACUUUGAGACAUGCAUGCUUUCCUUGUAUUCACAGCUUUGCAUAUUUUUAAUUUUUUUCCCAUUUCUCCUCUAAGUGGCUUGAGUUUGUCAUUUCACAUUGUAUAACAAAUAAUGACAGCUGUUGCUUGAGUAGGUAGCCUCCAAGUCCUGUCAUCGCAAAUGGUUGGAGAGUAGGUCAGCUAAACUCAUGCAACAAAGUGGGAUGAGCCCUCCUAACCCUUCCCCUGCUUGGAUCCAGGGAGCCUUGAUCAGCCAAGCAUUGUCACAGAGAAUGGGGCUCACUUCAAUAAACAUUUAGUGAGCCAUAAAAAUAAAACUGCUUUUGUAGACAACUCUGACUUUGAACUCCAUUCUUUACUUAUGGAAACUGACUUGCCCUAGAGGAGAGAACAUGUUUUGAUGGAUUACUGUACUCCUGUGGCAUUGCCACCAUUAGAUGCAGAAAGAAGAGAGAGUCAAGCCAGAGUCUCUGAGAGCAAAGGAAAUAUCCCCAGCUGCCGCCUUCUAAGCAUAGGAGCACUUUGCUAUGGUGGAGACUUUUUUUUUUUUGCUAGUUAAACCAUCAUAAAACUUAAUAAAAUUUCCCAGAUUGUCCCAGUUUCUAGCAGUUUUAAGAUAAAUUUUUAUUUUUCUUUUGCUAAAUGGUCUUUCCUUUCUGUUGGUUUGGUAUCCCUUUUCUUAUUUAGUUGCAGUCCAGAAUGAUGCACUGAUCUUAAACAUUCAGGAAAAUAUUUUCCAUGUUGCAUCUACCCAGAGAAGUUGUUUGAUUUCCCAGUUUAACAUUCUUUCUGCCAUCUUGGUGAACUUGACUCUUUUUGGGUUCUUGAGCACAGCUUCUUUCUGUAUCCUUCGGAGUAAUGACCAUUAAUCCUGUAUUCGGUCAGAAAGUGUGCUUGUACUUUGCAAAUUUGAUUAGGUUAUCUGUUCUCAAUUAUCUGUAGUACUAAGGGAUUGAGAGAGUGAGUUAACUGAAACCAAUACAAAUCUAGUCCAUUAUUUUCAACUUCCUCCCUAGUCUCUUUUGCUAAAUCACUGUCAGGAAUAUCAGCUGCUUCCCUGUUCUAUUUUCCUUGUCCUUCACAUGAUAAAGAUAUUAAUAAGAAAGAAAGUGACUAAAAAGAUGUCAAGUCUGACAAGAAUAAGGGAAUGGCACUUCCUUGAAUGUCCCGAGGGGCUCCCUAGAGCCAAUCUCUAAAUACUUCGAGAUUUUGUGAGCUGAAUACUUAUGGAGAAAUUAUUGGUAAAAUCCAAUCAGUUAUGGUGCAAACGUUUACAUCUCAGAAAUUGGCAAGUGCUGCAAGUUAUUAAGACUUCCUGUUUUUCCUAGAUUUGGUUUGGCCACGUAGCACUAGUGUAGGCAUUAUGUUCUCUUCAGUUAUUGAGACCCGGCUAGCAUAAGAUCAAUUUAUCUGUGUCCUCCUUUGUACCAAGCCUAGUGCUUAGAAUAGACUAGGAAUGCACAAUUUGAAGAAUAAUAUUUUUUUAAAAAUUGUGCUUGUCUUGUGUUGGGCUAUAUUACCUUCGACUGGUGGACCAGGCCAUCUUGAUUCAGUUGUCCUUUCCUAGUUACUCAGUGGUUAUCAGCAGAUACCUUUUCAAGGUUUCUCACUAGGGAAGAACUGGAUGUUCUCAAAGUCAUACGACUAGUGAUCACACCAACUCCUACCUCUAAUGGGGAUCAGGGUCUUUCUUUUAGCUGUAUUUGUUCAUUCCAUUCCUUUCCUUUCUCCUUUCCUCCCUCCCUUCCUUCUCAUCUGCUUUUCUCCCUCCCUUUUUCUCUUUUCUGGCAACAUUGGAUGCCUACUAUAUAACUCAAAAGGAAUACAAAGAAGAGUACUCUUGGGCUGGGGUUGCGGUUCAGGGGUAGAACUCUUGCCUAGCAUUUGUGAGGCAUUGGGUUUGAUCCCCAGCAUCACAUAAAAAAAAAAAAAAAAAAACCUAAAUAAGCAAAAUAAAUGUACUGUGUGUAUCUACAAGUAAAAACAAAACAAAACAAAAGAAGUGUACUCUUAUGUUAAGGGAGCUCUUAUACCCUAUGGGAAGAGAUGGAGAGGAGAGCGACUUACAUUUAUUAAACAACUCGAGGGCUGGGGAUGUGGCUCAAGCGGUAGCACGCUCGCCUGGCAUGCGUGCGGCGCGGCCCGGCCCGGGUUGGAUCCUCAGCACCACAUACAAACAAAGAUGUUGUGUCCACUGAAAACUAAAAAAAAUAAAAUAAAUAUUUAAAAAAAAAAAAAAAAAACAACUUGAUAUAGCCCAUACUUUGAAUAACCAUGCCAUUGAAUCCUCAAAAUAACCUAGUGAGGUAUUUAUUACCCUCACUUUUUGAAAAUAAAACUGAAGCUUGGAGAUAUAAAAUAUUAUGCCAGUAAGUAAGAUACUCAUGAUUGAAACCCAGCUUCUGCAUUUCAGGAUAUCAUGUUGUGUAGGAGAUAUAAGAAUAAUAAAUUGCAGAAGACAGUGAUAAUAGCAAUAAUAAUUACCUUGUAGACAUGGUGCCAUUGACUUGUCUUGAGGAGUUAGAGAAGAGAAGGCUUCAGAGGAAGGGAACUUGUGUCUGAAUGUGAAGGAGCAGAAAGGAGUCUUCAGACCCAUUCAGUAAGAAAGAUUUUUUUGUCUGUAAGGCUGAAGAAGAAGGUAGAGGUGAGGCUUGUGGAAAGGCUGUCUAGUGAGUUGGGGCAGAUCUUACAGAACCUGCUGAAAAUCUUGGAAUUUAUCCUGGGGCAAUAGGGAUCUGCUAGAAAGCUUUGUAAACGAGAACUAGGUGUGUGUUUUUUUGUCAUUGCUCUGGAAGCCCCUUGGCUUGGGACCAAGCAUGGGCCGAGCUAAGGAGACUGGCUAGGUGUGAAGCCCGUGGGAAGGGAGGGCAGGGUGCUUGUGUAGAGAGUAGGGAAGGCCAUGCAGGUGCUGACUCCCUUGUCUGAAGGCUCAGAUUCGUCCUGGAGUUUGGGGCUGUGGGUCUCACAGAUGAAUGCUUCCUUUUGAAGACUGGCUCCCACUCUGGGCAGUUUGAGGUAACUGGCACAGAUUCCAUGCUCAGGAAACCAGGAAAUGGUGCCACAGUGGGCACAAUCCUAAACCUAGGAAUUGGAAAAUGCAGGGUCCGUUUCUGGUUGUUUGACCUUAGGCCAAACAUUGAAUCUCUCUGUAAGAAGAAGAGCUUGGAGCCUUCCUGCUUUUUGAUCUCUUCCAGGGAGAUAACCUCAUCUGCCCAGAUAUGAAAGCACAUUAGGGAAGGAGUAGGCGGAGGAGACCAAGUUCCACAUUUCUGUGAAGUCUUGGUUUUGACUUACAUUAUAGGAAGGAUUUGACCUCCUUGCCAUGACAAGUUUUCAUUUAUUUUGAAAAAAAAUAAUAACUCCUUCCUUAACUCUGGACUGUUUCACAGCCAGAAUCAGCUGAUUCUUUUUUGUUAUCCUGGUUAGAAAAAAAAAAAUUCGUGUUUCCUCCUGGCUGUGGGCCUUUGUGUACCACCCUGUAAGCAAAAUUUGGACUUGGGUUUUUAGAUCUUGGUUGCAAUGGAAAACAGGAAUCUAAUGUGUGUUGGCCAUUUUCAUAACCACUCUUUGGAUUAAUUUUCAUCAGAAAGGGACCUGAAGGGCUUUCUUUGCUUUCUGCAACCUGGUCAAUAUAGAUUUCGGCAAAGGAUAUGUUUUUUUUGCAAGUUAUUUUUUCCAUCUGCAUAGAUUAUUCUAAUUUCUGAUUGAUCUUCAAAGGACGGGGAUACUAUUGAGCUUCAUUAUCAUCUGUCAAGCAAUUAACUUUAAAAAGUCAAGAAAACAAAAACUUUGAAAUGUACUAAGGAAAUUCCUACGUGCUUUGGUGAAGUUAAAAGUAUCUUGGAGCACGAACGAUCCUGCCUCAAUCUAGUCAUCAUUUGUAUUUGGACUUUCCAGAAUCUAACUGGUGUUUUAGGUUGCCCAGGUGGGUCUAGAACUCCUAGCUCAACUGAUGAUCCUCCCACCUCAGCCUCCCGAGUAGCUGGGACUACAGACAUGUGUCCCCAGGUCCUGCAGGUCCUUGGCUUUCUCUUGCUUCCUCUCUUGCCAUGUGAUCUCUCUCCCACCACACACUCACUUCCCCCUUUUGCCAUGAGGACUUCACCAGAAGCUGAGCAGAUACUGAGACCUUUCUUUAUAAAUAACCUAUGCUUAGAUAUUCUGUAACUGAAAUAGAAGAUGGACUAACAAUGCAACAGCCAAGGAAGAGAGGGGAGGUGUGCAGAAUGUCAUAGGUACAUUGUUGAGCCUAUUCAUGGCUAAAGGCUCCCCCAAGAGCUGGUUUGCUAAAAGCUCCCCAAAGACCUGAUUUGAAGCUGUGUUGGGUAGGCCACAGCAUCCAUUAGGUUCUAGGCCAUGACAAUGAGGCAGCCAUCCUACAACAGAUCAACUCUGGCUUCCACAGGACUGGCAGAAGCUAGGACACGAGGUAAUGUCAGGCACUGCACUUGACACUUUCCACACAGGACCUCAUUGAAUGUUCCCAAUAAACCACUGAAGUCUCCACUUUGGAGAUAAGGAGAUUGAAGGUGGAGGUUGCUCUGGAGGGACAUGACCCUAGAUCAUUCAGAUGUCCCUCACUGUCCCACUGUCCCCUGCUCACUGGCUGGCACAUUAUAAAAUGGCACUGUCCAACUACGAGAGGGCUAGGUGAGAACUAUUCAUGAUUUUAAAGGGUGAGCUGAGGUUUGAAGUCAAGCCAGUGUGACUCCAAAACCCAUGGUUUUAUUUACUCUUCUGUCCAUUUUCUCAGUAAGCUUACAAAUGAUUUUAAGCUCUGAGGCCUACAGUCAGCGUGUACCCCAAUAUUGUACACUAGUCAUAUGUAGUUAGUAUUUAGUCACAUGGCUAAUAUUAAGAGGCUUAGAUUCUGUCUGCCAAAUUUCUAAUUAUGACAGUAUGAGGACUUUGAUUUCAGAAAUAAUACAAGAUCUGCCCAAAGGUCAAAUAUUCAGUUUGGAUGACUCUCUUACAGCCGAAUUUGUAUCUUUUCCUCCCAUCUCAUUUCCUUUUCAACUUUAACCUGUGUAACCAAAGCCAUCAAUGUCUUCCCUGCCACACCCUUCUCUUCUUUGGAGGUAAACUUUAUAAAUUUGUGUCAGUCAGAAUAGGUUGGAUUAUGCUGCAGAACAAAUAUCCCCUAAUACUUGAUGACUUAAAGCAACAAAGGUUUGUAUCUUAAAAUAACUAAGGUUCUUCUAUCUAUUACAUGUCUCUCAUAUGUUACCAGCAUGACUCACAUCUGUCACUCAAGAAUAACAGAUGGCUGGGCACUGUGGCACACACCUGUAAUUCUGUAAUCCCAGCAGUUUAGGAGGCUGAGACAGGAGGAUCAUGAGUCCAAAAGCCAGCCUUGGCAAUUUAGUGAGGUCCUAAGUUUUCUUUCCUUUUUUUUUUUUUUUUAAGAGAGAAUUUUAAUAUUUAUUUUUUAGUUUUCGGC